UACGUAGGGUGCAAGCGUUGUCCGGAAUUAUUGGGCGUAAAGAGCUCGUAGGCGGUUUGUCGCGUCUGCUGUGAAAUCCCGAGGCUCAACCUCGGGCCUGCAGUGGGUACGGGCAAACUAGAGUGCGGUAGGGGAGAUUGGAAUUCCUGGUGUAGCGGUGGAAUGCGCAGAUAUCAGGAGGAACACCGAUGGCGAAGGCAGAUCUCUGGGCCACUACUGACGCUGAGAAGCGAAAGCAUGGGGAGCGAACAGG
rnacentral:rRNA from 1 species